rnacentral:rRNA from 1 species
GGGGAAUAUUGCACAAUGGGGGAAACCCUGAUGCAGCAACGCCGCGUGAAGGAUGAAGGUUUUCGGAUUGUAAACUUCUUUAGUCAGGGACGAAUAAAUGACGGUACCUGAAGAAUAAGCCACGGCUAACUACGUGCCAGCAGCCGCGGUAAUACGUAGGUGGCAAGCGUUGUCCGGAAUUACUGGGUGUAAAGGGCGUGUAGGCGGGAAUGUAAGUCAGAUGUGAAAUCCCAGAGCUUAACUCUGGAGCUGCAUCUGAAACUAUGUUUCUUGAGUGUCGGAGAGGAAAGCGGAAUUCCUAGUGUAGCGGUGAAAUGCGUAGAUAUUAGGAGGAACACCAGUGGCGAAGGCGGCUUUCUGGACGAUAACUGACGCUGAGGCGCGAAAGCGUGGGGAGCAAAC